GAAAAAGGGACUUAAUAGGAAGA
rnacentral:piRNA from 1 species